rnacentral:rRNA from 1 species
GGAGGGUGCAAGCGUUAUCCGGAUUCACUGGGUUUAAAGGGUGCGUAGGUGGGUCUGUAAGUCAGUGGUGAAAUCUCCGAGCUUAACUUGGAAACUGCCAUUGAUACUAUAGAUCUUGAAUACUGUGGAGGUCAGUAGAAUAUGUCAUGUAGCAGUGAAAUGCGUAGAUAUCGAGAGGAACACCAGUGGCGAAGGCGAGUCUCUGGACAUUUCCUGACGCUGAGGCGCGAGAGCGUGGGGAGCAAACAGGAUUAGAUACCCUGGUAGUCCACGCUGUAAACGAUGAGAACUAGAUGUUGGUAGGCUUGGACCUAUUAGUAUCGAAGCUAACGCGAUAAGUUCUCCGCCUGGGGAGUACGACCGCAAGGUUA